ensembl:misc_RNA Metazoa_SRP Metazoan signal recognition particle RNA
ACUGAGCAGGGUGGCACAUGCCUGUAGUCCCAGCUACUCGGGAGGCUGAGGCAGGAGGAUUACUUGAGCCCAGGAGUUCUGGGCCGUAGUGUACUAUGCCAAUCAGGUGUCUGCAUUAGUUCGGCAUCAAUAUGGUGACCUCCUAGGAGUGGAGGACCACCAGGUUGCCUAAGAAGGGGUGAACCAGCCCAGGUCAGAAACAGAGCAGGUCAAAACUCCUGUGCUGAUCGGUAGUGGAAUUAUGUCUGUAAAUAGCUACUGCACUCCAGCCUGGGAAACAUAGCGAGACCCUGUUUCUA